UACGGAGGGGGCAAGCGUUGUUCGGAAUUACUGGGCGUAAAGCGUGCGCAGGCGGUUAUGCAAGACAGAUGUGAAAUCCCCGGGCUUAACCUGGGGACCGCAUUUGUGACUGCAUAGCUGGAGUACGGCAGAGGGGGAUGGAAUUCCGCGUGUAGCAGUGAAAUGCGUAGAUAUGCGGAGGAACACCGAUGGCGAAGGCAGUCCCCUGGGCCUGUACUGACGCUCAUGCACGAAAGCGUGGGGAGCAAACAGG
rnacentral:rRNA from 1 species